rnacentral:sRNA from 1 species
AUGCUAAGGAGAUGGAUUCUAUAUUGGGAGGCUAGCUGGAGGGGCAUCGUCAAAGGAGAGUUUCUGGUGAGGUUAAGGCCAACGGUGAGCAAGAUUUCAUUGAUGUCAUGUUGUCACUUCAGGAAGAAGGUCAACUCUCAAAUUUUCGAUAUGAUGCAGACACUAGCAUCAAGUCGACUUGCCUGGUAUAUAUGUUGGUUGUUUUGGUAUAAUAUUAAUAGCUUAUUUUUUACAUUAAUUAUUAUCUAACAUGUGAUUUCACUACUUUAACUAACCAUAUGAUUCAUAUGAAUUUGUAAUAUGACUGUGGUGGAGUUGGCUACCCACAGAGUUUCUAGGCUGAACCUUAAUUCUGAGCCAUCUCAAGACAACAUAGAGCCCAAAUAUUAGGCCUAUUCUUGGAUGGCCAUGCCUUCAAAUUAAUCCUACUUGCCUCAAGAUUUGACUAUUUUCAAGGGUUUCGAGAACGCUAGAUUGGAUAUAGAAGCCAUAUAUGACCAUGUUAAUAUGGUCUAUUAUAAUUAGUGCAUAAUCAAAUUAAUGUUACCAAUGUAAAAGUGAUAUUGUUCUAAUCACGAAUUAUCACACCUUAAUAAGUUGUAAAAAAAAAAAAAGUUUCAUAGUUAGCAUUGAUUUCUAUGAGAAAUAUUAAUUGAAACUUAUUCCUCUUUAAACGAAUUAAAUAGAUCUUUAAGGUCAUAAAAUUUUUAUGCAGGCACUUAUCCUUGGUGGCAGUGACACUGCAUCAGGGACGUUGACAUGGGCCAUCUCAUUACUUCUGAACAAUCGAAAAGCGUUGAAGAAGGCACAAGAAGAAUUAGAGCAUCAUGUUGGUAUGCAUUGACAGGUUGAAGAAUCGGACAUGAAUAACCUCGUUUAUCUUCAAGCAAUUAUCAAGGAAACUCUUCGUUUAUACCUAGCUGGUCCACUCUUAGGACCGCGUGAAGCAUUGGAAGCUUGUAACGUUGUUGGCUAUAAUGUUAAAGCUGGCACUCGCUUGUUAGUGAAUGUAUGGAUGUUAUGAACUGAAAUAUGGAAGGAAGUAAUGGAGGAAAUAGAGGAAUGGGGAAGAAGAGAUAUUGGUCAAAUUGUUAUGAACUGAAAUAUGAAAGAAAGUAAUGGAGGAAAUAGAGAAAUGAGGAAGAAGAGAUAUUGGUCACUUCGAGGGGACCACCUCCAAAUAGAGUCAAAACAAGAAAAGGAGAGUAACUGAGUAAUUCCAAGCUUCCCUUUAUUAUUCCAAAAUUGGGCUUAUAUACAAUUACAAUCACUUACAAUCUCAGUAACUACCAAUUGCAACUAUCUGUAACUAUCUCUAACAAUUUUCUAACUAACUAUCACUAACAGCUCACUUAACUACACACGCCUCUAUAUAGCACCACUGCAUGCACGCCUCAUCACCACAAUAGGCACAUCUCAUCACACUGUUAGGCAAGUCACACACACCCACUACUAAUCCAACUGUUAGGCAUAUCACACACACCAGCUGCCGAGCCAGCUAUUGGCACAUUAGUCAGGUACACUACUAAGCCAACACACCUAAGCCAGCACCCCAGUAUCUUAACAACUCAUCCCUCCUUAAAACAGCUUGCCCACAAGAUGAGGGAAUUGCUGUUGAAGGAUAAGCAAAUCCUCCCAAGUAGCAUCAUUUGCAUUUCCUUCUUGCCACUGAAUCAGGUGUUGAGUUAUAAGCCUAUUUCUAAGCUUGUGAGACCUAGUUUGGAGAACAACAACUAGUUCGGAGAAUUGCAACUAGUUCAGGUGUAAGAAUGCCAUUAGAGUUCACUGAUGGAGGCAAGGCAAUAGCCACAUGAUUGUGUCCAAGCUUAGCUUUCAAGCAAGAGACAUGAAAUAUUGGAUGUAUGCUAGCAUCAGAUGGUAACUCUAGCCUAUAAGCAACCUCUCCAAUUUUCUCCAACACCUAGUAGGGACCAAAGAACCUAGGGGAGAGCUUAUGAGAAGCUCUUUGAGCUAUUGAUUGUUGCUUGUAAGGCUGUAGCCUUAAGUAAACCCAGUUACCAACAUUGAAAGCUCUCUCAUAUUUGUGAAGGUCACAUUGUUGCUUCAUACGAGCUUGGGCAUCUACCAAAUUUUGUUUGAGUAAAGUUAAGAUAUGUUGUUUGGAUUGAAGAAGAGAAUCCACAGCUGCCACUUGAGUUGUUCCAAGAAUGUAAUCCAACAAACGAGGAGGGGGAAAUCCAUACACAGCCUCAUAUGGAGUUAAUUUGGUAGCUAAAUGGUAAUUGGUGUUAAACCAAUACUUAGCUAAGUAAAGCCAAUCAGACCAUUCAGUAGGUCUAUCUGCAGAAAAAGAUCUCAAGUACUGCUCUAAACAUUUAUUCACCACUUCUGUCUGGCCAUCAGUUUAUGGGUGAUAUGCUGAGGACAUAGCAAGUUUAACCCCUUGAAAUUUGAAUAGCUUAGCUCAAAAUUUAGCAGUGAACACUGGGUCCCUGUCAGAAACAAUGGAGGUUGGCAUACCAUGCAAUUUGAGGACAUUUUGAGCAAACAAGGCAGCCACCUUAGCAGCAGAAAAAGGAUGAGACAAUUCAAUGAAGUGGACAUAUUUAGUAAGCCUAUCCACAAUCACCAUUAAUGUGUCCAACCUUUGAGAAAUAGGUAAGCCACUUACAAAAUCCAUACUAAUAGUAGUCCAAGGCUUAUGAGGAAUGGGAAGAGGCUGUAACAACCCAGCUGGCUUGCAAGUUUCAUGCUUCAUUUGCUGACAAACCCCACACUCUCUGAUAUGGAGUUUCAAGUCUGAUUUCAUUCCCACCCAAAAAAAAUCUUGUUUUAAUCUAUGGAAAGAUUUGAGAAAUCUAGAAUGGCCACCUAAAGGACUGUCAUGGACCAAGUGAAGCACCUUGGACUUCAAACUGUUCUGUGGAUCCAAAUAGACCCUCCCUUUGUACAGAAUCAACCCAUUGUGCAAAGAAAAGAAUUUAGGACAGGCUGAACCAGAUUGUAGCUGCUGUAGCAGCAGUUGCAUCACAGUGGAGGACUGAUAGGUAGCCUUCAACUCUUCAAUCCAAGGACUUGGAAAAGAAAUUAAACACAGACAUGGAGAGACCACAUUAGAGUUAGAAACAGCUAAAUCCUCAAACCCAACACCUAACCUCCUAGACAAGACAUCAGCUACCUUGUUCUCACACCCUUGCAUAUACUCCACCACAAACAAAUACCCCAACAAUUUAGUUAACCAUUUCUGUUGGGCAGGAGUAGCAAUUUUCUGCUCUAAGAUAUACUUCAAACUUUGUUGGUCAGUUUUUAUAAUGAAAUGCCUGCCUAAGAGAUAAAGUCUCCAUUUAUGUACUGUUGUGACUAAUGCCAAUAACUCUUUUUCAUAGGUAGAUAAUUGUAGUGCUUUGCCCUUAAGGACUUGACUAUGAAAAACAAUUGGUCUAUGAUUCUGCAUCAAAAUAGCCCCUAAACCACUACCUGAUGCAUCACACUCAAUAAUGAAAGUUUGAUUAUUAACCAAUAAUGUAACUAUCUCUAACAAUUUCCUAACUAACUGUCACUAACAGCUUACUUAACUGUACACAACUCUGUAUUGCACCACUGCACGUACGCCUCAUCACCACAAUAGGCACACCUCAUCACCACAAUAGGCACACCUCAUCACACUGUUAGGCACGUCACACACACCCACUACUAAUCCAGCUGUUAGGCAUAUCACACACACCAGCUACCGAGUCAGCUGUUGGCACAUCAGUCAGACACAUUACUUUGUGAAUGUUGAUUUUAGAGGUCAAAACUUUGAACUUAUUCCUUUUGGGUCUGGCAGACGAUCAUGCCUUGGUGUGUCAUUUGCCAUCCAAAUCCUUCACUUGACACUUGCUCGUCUACUUCAUGCCUUUGAAUUUGCAAUCCCAUUGGAUCAACCUGUUGACAUGACUGAAAGCCCUGGUACAACUCUUCCAAAAGCAACUUCAUUGGAGGUUCUUCUUACCCCAAAACUCCCGGCCAAACUCUAUGGCUAUUGA